GCCUCCCCGUGCGGCCGUGCGCCUCGGAGUCUCGGGCAGACUUCGCAGCACCACGCCUCCACCCCUCUCACCUCUCCAGGGACGGCCACUUCUCCGGCGACUGGCCACCGCAUCCUCCCACGCCACCAGAUCGACGGCCACCCCAUCCUCCUCGCGCGCCUCCGCAGAUCUACGUGGAAGCCGACCCGGCCGCUCGCCCCUACCGCUACGCCUCCCUACCCCGGUGAGCAUGGUCCGGAACGCACGCUUCUGCAUUGUGCUUACCGAGUUGGUCGCCGCCCUGCAGCAACUCCCAUCACCGAGCCCCCUGCUCCAUCGUGCUUGACACACAGGUCAUGCUAGGGCUCUCUUGCCCCACCGGUGGUGGGUAUUCUUCAGUUUUUGUUGUGGAGUUGUUGAUGAAAUUUCAAGCAGGCUAUAGGUGAGAAUAAAUAAACAAAAUUUGUGUUUCAGUUAAUCUAAUUUUCUAAACUUCGCACUAUUCAAUGUUAGUCAACAACUUAUUAAUGCUCAGCUUCAGUUAAGGGGAUUGAUUUUGCCCGUGCCUCCAUACAUGCGCCAUGGGUCAUUGUUUGGGGAUUUCCAGCUGUGGUAAACCGGCUGGCUCUGUAGGUGAUGUGUUGAUCAUGGGGUGUCUCCUAACCCCCAGUAGAAACGAAUCUGAACACUGAAAGCUGGUCCUCAAGGAUGUUGUGCUCACUCCAUUGCUUUCAAUGGAGGACCCCUGUCUGACACGCUUCCGUCUGCUCUUAUGGUAGGGAUUCCGGUAGUACUAUAUGCUCCUUGAAAUAGAGCUAAUCGUCUUCAGUAUGCAGGAGGAGCCGCGGGCAUUCCCUGCAGGAACAUGGAUUCGUCAGGCAACGACAAUGCAGCUCCAGCCUAUAUGCUGACAAACCUGGUUGAUGCAACCACGACAUUCCAGAUCGUCGACAUUCAGCGGUAUAUGAUGGAGUCCAUCCAAAUAAUUUUGCAGCCAUCUAGCCUAAGCGAUGCUUGAACAUCUUCCCCCGAGGGGUAAUAAAUUUCCUUUCAGGAUUUUUGUUCUUUUGUGUUUUCCAUUAUAUCUGAAAUUAGUUAAAGCCGUUUCUCUGUUUCGCCAUCCUUCUGCUCCUAGAUAACACUUUUAACGAGGUUGCGAUGCCAUUCUGCUCCUAUCCUUUUAAACCAUGGGUUUAGGAGGCUAUUGGUAAACCACACUGCAAAGCUUCUGUUGUUAAAAUUCUGCCCCUAUAGAAUUACAUGCUUACCUGUUCGCAGACUGAAUUAUUAAAGCCGUCUCGCCAUAAAUACUGAUAUAUGUGUACAAUCCUAAAUGUACUGAAAAAAUAUCUUGUCUCUUUGGUUAAUGGUUUAAGUCUAUAUAAUUAGAUUACCAUCCCUAACGCAAUUUUGAAAAACGCUUGCUGGUUUGAUGAACCACAUUGACAAUACGCACAGACUGAAAAACGGUUGCUGGUUUGAUCCAUCUAAUUUGCCCGAUAUAAUAGUCGUUCAUCAUACUUGCUAAAUUUCAGUUUAGACUGAUCAGCUCGAAUUUCUUGAAAAGAACAUUCCACAGUUGCCAUCCUUUUGUGGGUAAUAUUGUAUCGUGAAUGUAUGCCCUAUGGUGCAUCUUAGCUGGUUUAGACAAAUGAAAAGAAUUCCUUCACUGUUCAUUAUCACCCACUGAAAAGAAUUCUUUCACUGUAUACUGCAACCGCUUCUUCCUCUGAUGACUGUCCACUUUCCUAAAUCGAUCCGUUGCUGCAUUUAUCAAUUAUGUUAAAACAUUUGGCACGUUGGUGAUCAUAUUAUAAAAGAUUUGGUUUGUUAGUGCAUCAUAUUAUAGUUGAGCUGAAAUGACUCACUCACUCACAGGAGUGUGGUUUUACACACUGCAACUAUUUCCAAAUAUUCUUGUUACAAGUACAUCUUAACUUUUCUUAAUCUAAAGUCGCAACUAAUAAGUCAUCGGCGUAUUCUAUGGUAUAUACAACACUCUGCAUGUUCAGUUAUCGUCUACAACUAUAGUACUGCAGGCUUAUAUCAAAAGAAAUGUCUUGCUUGCUCAUCAACAGUACAAUCCAUCAACAGUUCAACACCAAUGUUAGAAUUAUAUUCGGUCGAAAUAAAUGCUCACCUGUUGCAAGGCCCAAUACAUAAUGUGAUGCAGAAUUUUUGUGUUACACUGUAGCUUAUUUACUGGGGAUAGUAUCAGGUACAUGUGAAUUCAACUGCGACUGAAGUCAUGCAAACAUUAUUCAGUACUCCAGACCAGUAUCAAAAGAGAUGCCUCGCUUGCUCAUCUCCAGUAUAAUCAUCAACAGCAAUAUUAGAAUUCUGUUUUUUUUUUCGAAAUAAAUGCUUACCAGUUGCUAGGCCCAGAAAAGAAUGUGAUGCAGAAUUUGUGUCACAUUGUAGGUUAUUUACUGGGUUAGUAUGAGGUACAUGUGAAUGCAACUUAGACUGAAGUCAUGUACCAUGUGGUACGUGGUGAGCAACUAAACAAUUGUUAUACAAAGACUGAAGUCAUGCAAACAUUCAUGCUGAGAAAUGACAAUACAGUGCUGAAAUGAAUUCUGAUAUCUUCUAGGAGAUCUGAGCUCCAUUGAAAUAUGAUCAUCAGUAAAUAAAUAGCUGUGAGAAAUGUGGUAGUUAUCAUUUUCCCCUUCUACUAGAAUAAAUAUGUGGAUUUUGUCUGCCUAGCAUGUCGCUUUGUAAAAUUUCUUAAUAUCUCGGUUCAAAUAUUACAGCACGUCACUGAUAUAUCUGAUAUUCUCAUCCUAUAUCCAACAGGUUACUUGGACUGCUUGAGUCUUGUUUGAUGCCGUGUUCGUCACACCAUUAUUCCUUUUAAAAAGUACGAGAGAAUGCUAUACUUAUUGGUGUUUAGCAAAUUAUUGUUAGGAACUUCAUGUAUAUGACUUUUCAGGAGUCAGUCUAUUGUUUGCUUUGCAUUUUCUUUUAUCAGAGUUUAGUUUUGUAUACACAUUCACCAUUUUGUUUCCACUCUAUUUCUAGCGGGUGUAGUACUUGCCGAUGGGGCAGGUUUUAUUUGUACAUAAAUAUAAAUCGAUUAGUGAGGUUAUGCCUACACCAUCUAUCUAAUAUUACA